GACAAGGAAAGUGGCCCUUUAGAGCUGACCAGUGUUCGAAAGUGCUCACCUCCUUUGUUUCCACCUCCUCCUGAGUCCUGACAAUAACAAUAGACAAAUAUUUCAAGAUAAUCGCACCCAAACCAUUAGAUGACUCAUUCAUGUAAGGAGAUAGAAAUUUCAACUAGUCAUGUCUCGCAGCAGUCAGAUAUCCAUCCCAGGAGGACUUGGGGGUGUAAAUGCAGCCUCAACAGAACUCUUGAUGACAAAUUACG